GACUUGAUGGUGUAGUUGGUAACACGCUUGCUCAAUUUAAUACUGUUAUGUAUCGAGUGCGUAAGAGUCCUCGGUUCGAAUCCGGGUCAGGUCA